CGCCUGCCCGGUGCUGGAAGGUUAAGGGGAAUAGUUAGCGCAAGCGAAGCUAUGAACUUAAGCCCCAGUAAACGGCGGCCGUAACUAUACCGGUCCUAAGGUAGCGAAAUUCCUUGUCGGGUAAGUUCCGACCCGCACGAAUGGCGUAAUGAUUUGAGCACUGUCUCGGCAAUAAAUCCGGUGAAAUUGUAGUGCAAGUGAAGAUGCUUGCUACCCGCGGUUGGACGGAAAGACCCCGUAGAGCUUUACUGUAGCUUAGCAUUGAAUUUCGGUAUUGUCUGUACAGGAUAGGUGGGAGACUUAGAAGCGAGGGCGUCAGCUUUCGUGGAGUCGUCCUUGGGAUACCACCCUGACAGUACUGGAAUUCUAACUGGAGGCCAUGAAUCUGGUCACAGGACAUUGCUAGGUGGGCAGUUUGACUGGGGCGGUCGCCUCCUAAAAGGUAACGGAGGCGCCCAAAGGUUCCCUCAGCGCGGUCGGAAAUCGCGCGUAGAGUGCAAAGGCAGAAGGGAGCCUGACUGCGACACAUACAGGUGGAGCAGGGACGAAAGUCGGGCUUAGUGAUCCGGUGGUUCUGUAUGGAAGGGCCAUCGCUCAACGGAUAAAAGCUACCUCGGGGAUAACAGGCUGAUCUCCCCCAAGAGUCCACAUCGACGGGGAGGUUUGGCACCUCGAUGUCGGCUCGUCGCAUCCUGGGGCUGUAGUCGGUCCCAAGGGUUGGGCUGUUCGCC
rnacentral:rRNA from 1 species